rnacentral:rRNA from 1 species
GACAGAGGGUGCAAACGUUGUUCGGAAUUACUGGGCGUAAAGCGUGUGUAGGCGGUCUCAUAAGUCGGAUGUGAAAGCCCCGGGCUCAACCCGGGAAGUGCAUUCGAAACUGCGAGGCUAGAGUAUCGGAGAGGUUGGUGGAAUUCUCGGUGUAGAGGUGAAAUUCGUAGAUAUCGAGAGGAACACCGGUGGCGAAGGCGGCCAACUGGACGAAUACUGACGCUGAGACGCGAAAGCGUGGGGAGCGAACAGG